rnacentral:rRNA from 1 species
GAUGAACGCUGGCGGCGUGCCUUAAGCAUGCAAGUCGAACGGAAAAGUUAAUCUCGCAAGAGAAAAAUAGAUCAGUGGCGGACGGGUGAGUAGAAGCAGGGAACGUACCCUUUACUGUGGGACAGCUCGUCGAAAGACGGGGUAAUACCGCAUGAGGUCGAAAGAUCAAAGACGCAAGUCGGUGAAGGAGCGGCCCUGCACCUAUCAGCUAGUUGGUGGGGUAAAGGCCUACCAAGGCUACGACGGGUAGGGGGUGUGAGAGCAUGACCCCCCACAAUGGCACUGAGACACGGGCCAUACAUCUACGGAUGGCAGCAACUGGGAAUAUUCGGCAAUGGACGAAAGUCUGACCGAGCGACGCCGCGUGAGGGAUGAAGUAUUUCGGUAUGUAAACCUCUUUUGCCAUGGUCGACAGGCUAUGGCGAAUAAGCACCUACAAACUACGUGCCAGCAGUCGCGGUAAUACGUAGGGUGCAAGCGUUAUCCGGAUUCACUGGGCGUAAAGUGCCGUGUAGGCGGUUUACCGCAUCGUAUCUGAAAGACCGAGGCUCAACCUCGGCAUUGGAUACGAGAUGGGUAUGACUUCUGAGGAUUGGAGAGGAAAGGGGAACUCAUGGUGAAGCAGUGAAAUGCGUUGAUAUCAUGAGGAACACCAAAGGCGAAGGCACCUUUCUGGCCAAUAUCUGACGCUGAGACACGAAAGCUAGGGGAGCGAAGCAGAUUAGAGACCUGCGUAGUCCUAGCCCUAAACGCAUGUCUGCUAGUUACCCUCCGUAAGGGGGGCGACGUAAGCUAACGCGUUAAGCAGACCGCCUGGGGACUACGAGCGCAAGCUUAAAACUCAAAGGAAUUGACGGGGACCCGCACAACCAGUGGAGCGUGUGGUUCAAUUCGAGACAAAGCGAAGGACCUCACCAGGGUUUGACAUGUUACCGUUUUAACCACCCAGAAAUGGGAGGCUAUCCGCAAGGAUGGUAGCACAGCUGCUGCAUGGCUGUCGUCAGCUCGUGCCGUGGGGUGUUCCCUUAAGUGGGACAACGAGCGCAACCCCUAUCCAAUGUUACAAGUGUCAUUGGAGACCGCCCCCUCUCUUAGUAAAUGAGAAAUCGUCUAUUGAGAGAGGGGGAGGAAGGAAGGGACGACGUCAAGUCAGCACGGCGCUUAUGCCCUGGGCAACACACACCCUACAAUGGCGAAAAACAACGAGAUGCAAGGUAGUAAUGCCAAGCUAACCUCUGAAAUUUCGCCUCAAUUCAGAUUGAGGUCUGCAACUCGACCUCAUGAAGUUGGAAUUGGUAGUAAUCGCGGAACAGCAGGCCGCGGUGAAUACGUUCUCGGGUCUUGUACACACCGCCCGUCAAGCCACCAAAGUUGGGAGUACCCGAAGGCUCGUUAUGCGAGUCGAAGGUAAGUUCAGCGAUGGGG